rnacentral:rRNA from 1 species
UACGGAGGGUGCAAGCGUUAUCCGGAUUCACUGGGCUUAAAGGGUGCGUAGGCGGGUUGGUAAGUCCGUGGUGAAAUCCCCAAGCUUAACUUGGGAACUGCCGUGGAUACUAUCAAUCUUGAAUAUCGUGGAGGUAAGCGGAAUAUGUCAUGUAGCGGUGAAAUGCUUAGAUAUGACAUAGAACACCAAUGGCGUAGGCAGCUUACUACACGAUCAUUGACGCUGAGGCACGAAAGCGUGGGGAGCAAACAGG